ACCAAUCAGAGAGCCUAAACAAACCAACUUGAAUACCCACAAUUAUAUGCGGUUGUGGUGGUGCAUUAUAUGUAAAUUGGUAAGUAUGAAUUUUGAUUUGAUGUGGUUGCAAAACGAAAGUAGACAUUUGCGAACGAAGUUACAGCUCCAUAUUAAACAUAUUAUUUGUGUAUAUGAAUGUUAUGCUUACUACCAGAAAUGAAGUUAGAAACACAUAAAUUCUUUCAAGCUUAAAAUUUUUUAGGUUAUCAUGAACUGUCAUCUAAACGAUAUUUGUUUUAUGACAUGUUCUGCAACUUUCAGUUUAUCACAAAGAUUGUCUGUUGAAUGUGAAGGAGUUCUAAGAGUACCGUGAUUGUGUUAUAAUUUUUUUAUUGCUUCUUGCAGGAUAAACAUGAAAACGAAAACAUGUGCUGCUGCUGGGUGCUUGUCAUCCAGCAAGCAAGGCAUCAAAUUCUUCAGCUUUCCAAGGGAUCCGGCAAGGGCUGAGGUAUGGGCAGGAAAAGUUGGAAUAUCCUUCCACUUCCUUUAAAAUGUUUGCAGUGCAACCUUUACCAAGUAGCCACCAACGUUUGCAGUGAAAGAAACCUCGUUUCUCAUAAGCCCUGUAAAUAUAAAUACUUCUGAUGUGGAACUCAGGCAUAUCAAUCAUUGCAGCAAGCCACAACACAGUAUUGGCUACAGCUCUGUUCAAGGGAUACAGCUACAGCAGCGGUAAGGAUAACAUAUCCAUAUCGAGAAGGCAGCAGGGGGCUGAUAGUUGCUUCAGUCUACCUUCCAUGUGACACGGAUGGACCACGACCAACUAAGGAAAUGAGGAACUUCACAGACUACUGCUUUAGCAGGAAAAAGCAACUCAUCAUUGGGUGUGAUGCCAAUGCACACCACAUCUUGUGUAGGAGCACCAGCACUAACCCAAGGGGAGAGAGCCUUAUGGAAUUUCUGGUGAGUUCGAACCUGAAUAUUCUAAACCAUGGUAACGAACCUACCUUUGUGGUUUGCAAUAGGAAGGAGGUUAUUGAUUUGACACUAGGGACAAAUAAUACAGGGGAACCUGGUAAGUAGCUGGCAUGUAUCUGAUGAGCCUCUCUAUCAGAUCACAGAUAUAUAUGCUUUAAAAUAAGUAACA